rnacentral:rRNA from 1 species
GAUGAACGCUGGCGGCGGGCCUAAUACAUGCAAGUCGAGCGAACAGACGAGGAGCUUGCUCCUCUGACGUGAGCGGCGGACGGGUGAGUAACACGUGGAUAACCUACCUAUAAGACUGGGAUAACUUCGGGAAACCGGAUCUAAUAUCGGAUGAUAUAUUGAACCGCAUGGUUCAAUAGUGAAAGACGGUUUUGCUGUCACUUAUAGAUGGAUCCGCGCCGCAUUAGCUAGUUGGUAAGGUAACGGCUUACCAAGGCAACGAUGCGUAGCCGACCUGAGAGGGUGAUCAGCCACACUGGAACUGAGACACGGUCCAGACUCCUACGGGAGGCAGCAGUAGGGAAUAUUCCGCAAUGGGCGAAAGCCUGACGGAGCAACGCCGCGUGAGUGAUGAAGGUCUUCGGAUCGUAAAACUCUGUUAUUAGGGAAGAACAAAUGUGUAAGUAACUAUGCACGUCUUGACGGUACCUAAUCAGAAAGCCACGGCUAACUACGUG